rnacentral:misc_RNA from 1 species
UGUAGGAGUGAGCCUGCUCGCGAUAGCGGUGUGUCAGUCACCAGAUUAUUGACUGACAGGUUGCAAUCGCGAGCAGGCUCACUCCUACA